rnacentral:rRNA from 1 species
ACUCCUACGGGAGGCAGCAGUGGGGAAUAUUGCACAAUGGGCGCAAGCCUGAUGCAGCCAUGCCGCGUGUAUGAAGAAGGCCUUCGGGUUGUAAAGUACUUUCAGCAGUGAGGAAGGCGGGGUACGUUAAAUAGCGUCUCGUUUGACGUUAGCUGCAGAAGAAGCACCGGCUAACUCCGUGCCAGCAGCCGCGGUAAUACGGAGGGUGCGAGCGUUAAUCGGAAUUACUGGGCGUAAAGCGCAUGCAGGUGGUUUGUUAAGUCAGAUGUGAAAGCCCGGGGCUCAACCUCGGAAUAGCAUUUGAAACUGGCAGACUAGAGUACUGUAGAGGGGGUAGAAUUUCAGGUGUAGCGGUGAAAUGCGUAGAGAUCUGAAGGAAUACCGGUGGCGAAGGCGGCCCCCUGGACAGAUACUGACACUCAGAUGCGAAAGCGUGGGGAGCAAACAGGAUUAGAUACCCUGGUAGGAUAG